rnacentral:rRNA from 1 species
GACGUAGGAGGCGAGCGUUGUCCGGAUUCAUUGGGCGUAAAGAGCGCGCAGGCGGCUUGGUAAGUCGGAUGUGAAAUCCCGAGGCUCAACCUCGGGUCUGCAUCCGAUACUGCCCGGCUAGAGGUAGGUAGGGGAGAUCGGAAUUCCUGGUGUAGCGGUGAAAUGCGCAGAUAUCAGGAGGAACACCGGUGGCGAAGGCGCCACUCUGGGCCGGUACUGACGCUGAGGAGCGAAAGCGUGGGUAGCAAACAGG